GGGUUCCUCUGUACAGUACUCGCAGCAGAGCUUAUAUAGACAACUUACACACCCAGCCAAAGCAAACCUCCCCAAAUCCAACACUUCCAGCAUGUCCAAACUGGGAAACAGGCGGCAGAGUAACACGGGGCAAGAAGAGAAGAGCGACAUAAACUAUUUUAGACGCAAUCAAGGAAGAAUCGCCCAUCAUGUGGAAUUGAGCGGCAGUUUUAAAUGUACUAAGAGAAGACUGGUCUCGAAAAAAAAAAAAAAAAA
rnacentral:lncRNA from 1 species